rnacentral:rRNA from 1 species
AACGAACGCUGGCGGCAUGCCUAACACAUGCAAGUCGAACGAGACCUUCGGGUCUUGUGUCGCACGGGUGCGUAACGCGUGGGAACCUGCCCUUAGGUUCGGAAUAACUCUCCGAAAGGGGUGCUAAUACCGGAUAAUGUCUUCGGACCAAAGAUUUAUCGCCUUUGGUUGGGCCCUCGUUGGAUUAGCUAGUUGGUAGGGUAAAAGCCUACCAAGGCGACGAUGCAUAGCUGGUCUGAGAGGAUGAUCAGCCACACUGGGACUGAGACACGGCCCAGACUCCUACGCGAGGCAGCAGUGGGGAAUAUUGGAACAUGGGCGAAAGCAUGAUCCAGCAAUGACGCGUGAGUGAUGAAGGCAUGAGGGUUGUAAAGCUCUUUUAACCGGGAUGAUAAUGACAGUACCGGGAGAAUAAGCCCCGGCUAACUACGUG